rnacentral:rRNA from 1 species
ACCUUCGGGCCUCUUGCCAUCGGAUGUGCCCAGAUGGGAUUAGCUAGUAGGUGGGGUAAAGGCUCACCUAGGCGACGAUCCCUAGCUGGUCUGAGAGGAUGACCAGCCACACUGGAACUGAGACACGGUCCAGACUCCUACGGGAGGCAGCAGUGGGGAAUAUUGCACAAUGGGCGCAAGCCUGAUGCAGCCAUGCCGCGUGUAUGAAGAAGGCCUUCGGGUUGUAAAGUACUUUCAGCGGGGAGGAAGGGAGUAAAGUUAAUACCUUUGCUCAUUGACGUUACCCGCAGAAGAAGCACCGGCUAACUCCGUGCCAGCAGCCGCGGUAAUACGGAGGGUGCAAGCGUUAAUCGGAAUUACUGGGCGUAAAGCGCACGCAGGCGGUUUGUUAAGUCAGAUGUGAAAUCCCCGGGCUCAACCUGGGAACUGCAUCUGAUACUGGCAAGCUUGAGUCUCGUAGAGGGGGGUAGAAUUCCAGGUGUAGCGGUGAAAUGCGUAGAGAUCUGGAGGAAUACCGGUGGCGAAGGCGGCCCCCUGGACGAAGACUGACGCUCAGGUGC